UUGACCUCGGAUCAGGUAGGAAUACCCGCUGAACUUAAGCAUAUCAAUAAGCGGAGGAAAAGAAACCAACAGGGAUUGCCUCAGUAACGGCGAGUGAAGCGGCAACAGCUCAAAUUUGAAAUCUGGCCUUUACGGUCCGAGUUGUAAUUUGUAGAGGAUGUUUUGGGCACCGCUCCGGGUUAAAUUUCUUGGAACAGAAUGUCAAAGAGGGUGAGAGUCCCGUCUUGGCCCGCGGUAGGACCUAUGUAAAACUCCUUCGACGAGUCGACUUGUUUGGGAAUGCAGGUCCAAAUGGGUGGUAAAUUUCAUCUAAAGCUAAAUAUUGGCCAGAGACCGAUAGCGCACAAGUAGAGUGAUCGAAAGAUGAAAAGCACUUUGAAAAGAGAGUUAAACAGUAUGUGAAAUUGUUGAAAGGGAAGCGCUGGCAACCAGACUCGAGCGCGGUGUUCCCCUUGGCUUCUGCCUUGGUUAUUUCACCGUGACCGGGCCAUCAUCAGUUUUGGGGGUUGGUUAAAGAUCUAGGGAAUGUAUCCUCUCUUUCGGGGGAGGACUUAUAGCCCUGGAUGUCAUGCAGCCUCCCGGGACUGAGGAACGCGCUUCGGCGAGGAUGAUGGCGUAAUGGUUGUCAGCGACCCGUCUUGAAACACGGACCAAGGAGUCUAACAUCUAUGCGAGUGUUCGGGUGUCAAACCCUUGCGCGGAAUGAAAGUGAACGGAGGUAGGAAGGCCUGAGCCUGCACUAUCGACCGAUCCUGAUGUCUUCGGAUGGAUUUGAGUAAGAGCAUAGCUGUUGGGACCCGAAAGAUGGUGAACUAUGCGUGAAUAGGGUGAAGCCAGAGGAAACUCUGGUGGAGGCUCGCAGCGGUUCUGACGUGCAAAUCGAUCGUCAAAUUUGCGUAUAGGGGCGAAAGACUAAUCGAACCAUUGGUAAUCACUACUAGGUGGUUAAGAGUCAAGUGUGAAAAGCACUGGCUAGUCGUGGGUCCACGGCAAGGUCGUCAAAUUGCGGGAACACCCUAAAGCCUGAGGUACCGCCGAACCGUCCCGAAAGGGCGACCGGCACCACGGAGAGAUUUCGUGGGUAUGGUAACAAUCCAAAGGAUGGUCCAGGUCAAGUCCUGGGCCGCUGUAAUGGGCAAUCCGCAGCCAAGCCUGUUUCCCCCCGUGGUAUGGGGGGAGAUUGGGUGCAGUUCAUCGACUAGAUGUCGACCGGGUUCCGGGCUUGUUCCCACAAGUCCAGGGCCUCAAGAUAUAGUCAGGCCCCCGGGGAGACCCGGGCGAGGGGAUGAAGUAGGGAGGAUUGGCCCCCGGUACCACGUCCACCAGACGUGACGGUCCUGCCUACCCGAAUCCCUUUGGCCGGUUCCAUUUGGGACCGGUGGAUGACAGCUGGUAGCUGGUUCCUGCCGAAGUUUCCCUCAGGAUAGCAGUAACGUUUUCAGUUUUAUGAGGUAAAGCGAAUGAUUAGAGGCCUUGGGGUUGAAACAACCUUAACCUAUUCUCAAACUUUAAAUAUGUAAGAAGUCCUUGUUACUUAGUUGAACGUGGACAUUUGAAUGUAUCGUUACUAGUGGGCCAUUUUUGGUAAGCAGAACUGGCGAUGCGGGAUGAACCGAACGCGAGGUUAAGGUGCCGGAAUGCACGCUCAUCAGACACCACAAAAGGUGUCAAUGCAUCUAGACAGCCGGACGGUGGCCAUGGAAGUCGGAAUCCGCUUAGGAGUGUGUAACAACUCACCGGCCGAAUGCAUUGGCCCAGAAAAUGGAUGGCGCUUAAGCGUGCUACCCAUACCUCGCCGUCAGGGUUGACAUGAUGCCCUGACGAGUAGGCAGGCGGGAGGUCCGGACGAA
rnacentral:rRNA from 1 species